CAUCUUAGGCAAUUUGGUAUAAUUUUAUGCUGUAUGAUUGAAGGAAUAGCAUCAAGAAACAUGUCUACAUUUGUUUUGUAAAAGCACUUUUUUUUUCUAGAUAUGUUCUACCCAUGACUGGUUGAAUCCAAGGAUUUGGAACUCACAAACCAUACUUGCUUCUUAGGAACAAUAUCUGAGCCUCAACUUUUUGUCAACUUGACGAGGAAAAGGAGGUUCCAAAUGGUCAUGGUACUUGCCGGAAUCAUACAACUAGUGAGAAGCAAGAUCCACUGUCUGACUCUUAAGAACCCAUGCUCACGACCACUCAACUCAGUCCUAACAUCCUCAAGGAAAAGAAGAAGGCCCACAAAUGUAGAGAUAAACUUCUCUUACAGCUGGCCAAUUUGGUGAAGCAGAAUAGUGGCCUUGCCCCAGAGAUCCUGAACAGCAUUCAUGUACCAACUACCUUCACAAAAGCCUAGAAAAUCAA